CAGCCGCCGCGGUAAUACGUAGGGUGCAAGCGUUGUCCGGAAUUAUUGGGCGUAAAGAGCUCGUAGGCGGCUAGUCACGUCGGCUGUGAAAACCUGAGGCUCAACCUCGGGCUUGCAGCCGAUACGGGCUAGCUAGAAUUCGGUAGGGGAGACUGGAAUUCCUGGUGUAGCGGUGAGAUGCGCAGAUAUCAGGAGGAACACCGGUGGCGAAGGCGGGUCUCUGGGCCGAUAUUGACGCUGAGGAGCGAAAGCGUGGGGAGCGAACAGGAUUAGAUACCCCUGUAGUCCCUGUCUCUUAUAC
rnacentral:rRNA from 1 species